CGGCGGAUCGGCGCGGGGCCUAUUUGGCUGUGACGCCUAGCCCAGGUUUCUACCGUCCUAUGCCCUAGGGCUCAUCUAAAACCUAAGAUGGCGGCAUUUGCAUAGGGUGUAAGCGCUGCAGGCAUACUUUAUGUGAAAAGACGGCCAAAGGACGAGUCUCCUAAGGAAUGUCCAGAAACUUGCGGAUAUUUGCGUUGUGAUUUUUAAAAACUUUAAACAGUGCAGUCAAAGCCUCCUCUUCAUCACAUGCCACAAGUGUUUUUUGUUUUGUUUUGGCUGCUCUACACAGCCUCUGGAAUUUUGUUCUCCAACCAGGGAUCGAACCCCAUGAUCCCUGCAGUCAGAGUGUGGAAUCUUAACCACUGGACUACCAGAUGCUUGAUUUGUGGCCCAGGUUGUAAUCCCUGGAGAAUGUCCCAUGUUUACUUGAGAAGAAAGUGUAUUCUGCUGCUUUUGGAUGGAAUGUCCUAUAAAUCACAGGAUUUAUAUCACAGUUAAAUCUAUAAGGUCUGAUGUGUCAUUUAAGGCUUGUGUUUCAUUAUUAGUUUUCAGUGUAGAUGAUGUGUCCAUUGGUGUUAGUGAGGGUAAGCAAACCUUUUAAAAAUCAAUUAAUUUGAUAAGCUACCUGCUAUAAUCUCCAAGAAAAAAAGAGAUGAUAAAAUUAUCAAUAUCAUGAAUAAAAUAAGUGACAUUAUUACAAAUUGUAAAGACAUUUAAAGAUAUUAAGACACCAACUAGUUUAACCUCCCUCAAAAUAUAUUAUUUGAAUAAACCUAUACUUACGAAUCAAUUAAAAUUUGUUUUUAAAUAAUCUUUCAAAUUGUAAAUUUUGGUGGAGGAAAUCAAUCACCCAGCAUUACUAGUUAGUAGAGAAAUACAAAUCAAAACUAUAGUGAGAGGUAUGUGACCUCACAUGAGUCAGAAUAGCUGUCAUAAAAUCUAUAAACAAUAGAUGCUGGGGAGCUUGUGGAGAAAAGGAAACCCUCCUAUACUGUUGGUGGGAAUGUAAAUUUGUAUAGCCACUGUGUAGAAUAGUAUGGAAGCUUCAUAGGAAACUAAAAAUAGAGCUACCAUAUGACCUAGCAAUCCCACUCCUUGGCAUAUAUCUGGAGAAAACCAUAAUUCUAAAGGAUACAUGUACCCUUGUGUUUAUUACAACACUAUUUACAAUAGCCAGGAAAUGAAAGCAACCUAAAUGUCCAUCAGCAGGGGAGUGGAUAAAGACGUGGAACAUAUAUAGAAUGGAGCAUUACUUAGCUGUAAAAAAAAAGGAACGAGGUAAUGGCAUUUGCAUAGGCCUAGAGAUUGUCAUUUAGAGUGAAGUGAAUCAGAAAGAAAAAAACAAUAUUGUAUAAUAUCACUUAUAUGUGAAAUCUCGAAAAAUGGUAUAGAUGAAAUUAUUUUCAUAGCAGAAGUAAGAGUCACAGAUGUAGAAAACUGACAUGUUUUCCAAGGUGGGAAAUGGUGAAGGGGUGGUCUGGGAUGAAUUGGGAAAUUGGGAUUGACAUAUAUACACUACUAAAUGUAAAAUAGAUAACUAAUGUGAACCUUGAGUAUUGCACAGAAAACUCUACUCAGAGCUCUGUGGUGACAUAAAUGGGAAGGAAAACUAAAAAGCAGUCAAUUAAUUGAGAAACGUACUUUAUGGAUUUGAAGACUCAUCAAUAGUAAGGAUGUCAAUUCUCAAAUUUAUCUGUAGAAUUAAUAGUAUUCCAAACUUGAUCCAAGCAGUUAGUACACUGUCUACCUACUAAAUAAUUUCAGUUAUUUUUGUAUGAUUGACUGUUGAAAUUAGUGACCAAAAAAUACAUUACAAAUAAUCUUUUUGCAGAACUUAUUCUUCAGCUUGAGGCUCCUCUGAAGAUCAGUUUUCCAUUAGUCAAAUUAAUUUAACAACUAUGAGAUCUUAAUUUUUUAAAAUGAUUCAGUACAAGGUAUCAUAUAGAUAUAAAACAUAUUUAAUUGACAUAUGACAUAAUCCUAUAUUUUCAAACUUUUUAUAAAUGAUAUUCUGUUAUACAUUUUCUUAUUUGGUUCCCCCAAACUUUUAUAUUUCUCUAUAUUCCUUUUAUUGGUGUAUUUUUUAAAAUGUAUAAAGAACGAGAUAUAGUAUUAUGAAGUUGAUUACUGUGAGGAUUAGUUUCAUAUGUUGUUGAACAUUUAAACUACUGUGCAAUUUUGCUUCCUCAGCCUCCAUUUUGUAUGGUUCAGUCUCUUGCAAGGGCUUGAACUGACACUGGCCUCUCCCAAGAAUACAUGUCAUAUAUAACAACUGUCUAUGUAUGUACUCAACCACUCAGUCUGACUUGUUGCAACCCCAUGAACUGUAGCCUGCCAGGCUCCUCUGUCCAUGGGGUUUCCCACGAAAGAAUAUUGGAGUGGGUUGCCAUUUUCUACUCCAGGGGAUCUUACUGAUCCAGGGAAAGAUCCCAUCUCUUAUGGGCUUAUAUCUUAUAUCUCUUACAAAUGGCAGAUGUCUUCUUUACCACUUGGCCACUUGGGAAGCCCAUAUAACCACAGAGGCACAAGUGUAUAUGUGUGUGUGCAUAUAUAUAUGUAUAUAUAUGCACACACACACAUACAAAUAUGUAUAUAAAAUUCAUAGUAGUUGGGUAUCUUCUUAAACCAGGCUUCUCUGUCCAUGGGGACUCCCCGGCAAGAAUGCUGGAGUGGGUUGCCAUGCCCUCCUCCAGGGGAUCUUUCCAACCCAGGCAUCAAACCUAGGUCUCCUGCGUUGCAUGUGGAUUCUUUACCGUCUGAACCACCAGAGAAGCCCUGGGAGAUAUCAUGUGUAAGUAACAGCCUCUCUUAUUCCAAUUUUUAGAAAAAAAUAAGUUGUAGCAGACAAACCAUAAGAUAACUCCUAAUGAUUUCUUGUCCACUAGUGUUCACGUCUUUGUUUAUUCCCCUCCCCUUGUGUGCACACAGUACCUGUAACUUUUUACCAAUAACAAAUUGUAAACAAUGGCAAAAGUAAUGGAAUGUCAUUGGCUUGAUUAGGUUAUAUUAUAUGAUCCAGAAUCACUUCUAUGAUUAUAUCAUGUUAUAUAAAACUAUCUUAUCAGACUGCAGGAAGAAACUCAUUACUGUUUUGAAAAUAUAAGCAGUAUGUUGGGGCGACACAUGGGAAACAGAUACUAUGUGCACCAGUCUCCUGCUGGCAGCCAGCAAAAUGUCUGGAAGUUUGGUUUCAAUUCAAUAACGUGAUUUCUGUCAACAACCUGAAUGAACUUGGAAGUAUAUUCUUUCCUAACUAUUCCUUCAUAUGAGAGUAUAGUCUAGCCAACAUGUUGAUUACAGUCUAGUGAGACUCUUAAGUGGAGGCAGCUAAGGUGUCCCGGAUCCUUGGCACACAGAUAACAUGAUCAAAUACAUGUGUGUUAUUUAAAGCUUUUACGUUCAUGGUAAUUCUAGUCAGGAAUAGAAAACAAAUACAAGAUUUAAAGUGAAACUUAGUUGAUUGUAAAUAACCUAUCUUUCAAGUUUUUUCUCCAAGGUCAGAGUUUAAUCCUUAUUUAAUUUAUUUAACCUAUAGAGAACCCAAUGAAGAAUCCCUGUGACCUAAGAUGGAAAAAGGUUAUGUUGUAUUGAAUGACAUUUUCUAAACAACAUACCAAGAUUGUCAACAUGUGAAGUGGUAGGGUAUGCUGUUACAUAAAUAAGCCAAAGAUAGUCCCAGUACAUUGGCCCUACAUUUUUUCCUUCACAGCGGUCCAGAAUACCUAACAUGAAAGCCCACCAGUGUUUAACUCAGUUAUUAACACAUUUUACAAAUAAUACAUUGUACACAAUUGCUUUAAAUGUGCCCUUAUAAGCAUAUUUUUUAGACUUUUAGGGCUUGCCUGAUUGUAUACUUGGAAAAACUGCACUUACAAAUCUGUUGGCCACAAAUAAGGUAAACCCUGGUAGUAUGAAUGAUGCCCGAGCCACUUAUGCCCUUCACAGGUCUCUGAACCAGAUGCCCCAUCUUGCUGUUGAGUGAUACCAUCUCGACAAUAAGUCCCUUCUCCUAGUCUCUUUUUUUCCUGGGAGUUAUUUUGCCUUCUUAUCCUUCUGAUUGAUGGGCCUCUGGAAGGUCUCAUGCUCUGAAUAACUUCCACAUACCCUAUCGUUCAUACGAGUCUAUUAAAGAAGCACGCAAAUAAAGCUCAUUGUAUGUUACUGCCACCUUGUGGUCACAUAUUUUUCCUCAACCUCAGAAACCCCCUGAAGCUCAGAGUUUCAUGCUAGAAAUUGACACUAAGCUUUUAAAUGUCUCCUUUUCUGUAGAGGUCAGAGUUUUAACAGAGAAGCUGUCUAUAUCUUGAAUCCUUUUGAAUACUCUUUGACCUGUUCUACAAAUAUCUUUUUCUGGUUACCAUUGGAAAGGAUUAUCAUCUAGUAUAUUUUUUAGAAUUGCUUUAAAAAUUUUAAUACUUUUGUUUUCAAUACAAGUAUGUUUAUGAGCUAUCUACUGUUGUGUAAAAGUUUGCCCCAGUGGUCCAGCGAUUAGGACUCCACACUUUCACUGCCAGGGGUCUGGGUUCAGUCUCUGGUCAGGGUACUAAGAUCCUGCAAACCGUCUGGAGCGACCAAAAAGAAAAAGAAAACAUUGCCCCAAAAUAUGAUGGCUUAAACCAACAAACAUUAAUUUCCUUGCAGUUUGUAGGUGUGAGAACUUUGCGUGUAGUUUAGCUAAUAGCUCUGGCACAGCAGUUCUGAGAAUAUGGGAGCCAGGAAGUCUGAUGAGACUGGAAUCAUCUGAAGGUUUAACUGGGUUGUAGGAUUCACUUGUAACAUUGCUGAGUCACAUUGCUUUUGGUAGGAAUACUUCAUUCCUUCUAUGUGGGCAUCAGUGCAGCAGUUGGAUUUUUUCAGAGUGAAUAAUCCAAGAGAGAGAUCAAGGAAGAAACAUGUAAUACCUUUUGUGAUAUAGUCCUCCUGAGUCGUGUACGAUCACUUCUGUUUUGCAGCCACCUCCUGUUGCAGACUUCUCAGGUGGCUCAGUGGUUAAAAACAAAAACAAAAACAUCUGCCAGUGCAGGAGACAGCAUAGACUUGGGUUCAAUCCCUAGGUUGGGAAGAUCUGCUAGGAAAGGAUGUGGCAAGCCACUCUAAUAUUCUUGUCUGGAGAACCCAUGGACAGAGGAGUCUGAUGGCCUUUAGUCCAUAGGGUUGCAAAGAGGCAGACACGACUCAGGGACUGGGCACACAACACACCUGUUGCUAUGGCAGUGAGGGAAGUGUUGGAAGGAUCUGUUUGAAACACUGUGUGAUGUUAAUCGUGUUCGUGUGAGCAGUUUGUCUCCAACAAAUUAUGUAUCACAGUAAAAAGUGAUUUUUCCUUGUUUUUGUGUAUUUUUCAUAUUAGUGCAAUACUGUAAACCUUGUAUUACUGUAACAUCAUGGUACUGAUUUGAAAUGCCACUAGUGAUGCUGGAAGUGCUCCCAAGAAGCAGGGAAAAGUUGUUACAUUAUAAGAAUGACAUUACAUAUACUUGCCAUUUCAAGAUAAAUCCAGUAUAAAAAUCCAUUGUAAAAAAAAAAAAAGGAAAUUUGGAAAGUCAUUGCUGUGGCUAACAGCAAACCUAAAAACCUUCCACUUUUUGUGAAAUAACUUUUUUUUAAAUCUCAUAUUGAAAAUUGAGAUUAAAUUGAAAAUUGAGAUUAAUUGAAAAUUAAAUUGAAAAUUUAAUCUCAUAUUGAAAAAUUCUGUGUAGGUGCAGGAUAUUAGUAAGUCACCACCUAUAGACUCUAUAUUCAAAAUAAAGCAAUGUCAGUAUAUGGCAAAGUGAAAGCAAGGUGAAGGCCCACAAAGUAUGGUUUGAUCAUUUUAGAAAGAGGUUAGCUUAUAAAAAUGUCAAGAUAACAACAGAAGCAACUUCUGCCAUUGAGGAGACUGCAAACAAGUCCCCAGAUACCAUUAAGAAAAUCACUGAGGAGAAAGGAUACCUUCUUGAGCAGGUUUUUAAAAUAUAGACAGAAGUGCCCUAUCCUGAGGGGAGAAUACCACAAAGGACUUUUAUUAGUAAUGAACAGAAGCAAACAUCAGGAUUUAAGGAAGAAAGGGAUAGGAUAACUUCUGUUUUGUGCAAAUGGAUUUUAGUUUAUGAAUAGGACUGCCUUUACCUAUAGAGCUGCUAACCCCUCAGCCUUGACAAGAGAGGAUAAACACCAUCUGCCAUUCUUUUGGUUGUACAGGAAGAAGGACUGGAUGAAAACCCUUUUUUGUGGAUUGGUUCCAUUAAUACUUUGUCCCUGAAGUCAAGAAAUACUUUGCCAGUAAGGGACUGCCUUCUAGGGUUCUUCUGAUAUUGGGCAAUGCCCCUGGUGGUCCAGAACCCCAUUAGUUCAAUACUGAAGGCAUCAAAGUGAGUGAUUUAUGCCCCCAAACACAAUGUCUCUACUUCAGCCUAUAGAUCAGAGGUUCAUAAGAUCCUUUAAAGCUCGUUACACACACAGUACUAUAUGGAAAAGUUUCCCAGUGCUAUGGAAGAGAUUUACGAUAGAGUGUCAUAAAAGUGUGGAAGAAUUACACCAUUGGAGAUGUCAUCAUUGUUAUAUAAAAAGCCAUUAAGCCCCAACCAAUAAGUUUCUGAUGGAGAAAACUGUGUCCAGAUGUUCUGCAUGACUUCAUAGGAUUUAUUACAGAGCCAAUCAAAUAAAUCAUGAAAUGGAUUGUGGAUAUGACCAAAAAAAGAAAAAAGAAAUAAUGGGAAGGGGUGAGUGUUUUAAGAGAUGGAUCUUGGAGAAACUCAAGAGCUAAUAGACACCACACCAGAGAAUUACAGAGAACAACUUGAUGGAGAUGAGUGUUUCUGAACCAGUACCAGACGACAAGGAAGAAGACUUAGUAGCAAUGCCAGAAAACAUAUUGACAUUAGACAAUCUAGCAAAGUGUCCAAUUACUCGACUACUUUUGACUUCUUUUAUAACAUGCACUCAUCUCACACACUAGUUAAGUAAUGCUUAAAAUUCUCCAAGCCAGGCUUCAGCAAUACAUGAACCGUGAACUUCCAGAUGUUCAAGCUGGUUUAGAAAAGGCAGAGGAACCAGAGAUCAAAUUGCCAACAUCCGCUGGAUCCUCAAAAAAGCAAGAGAGUUCCAGAAAAAUAUCUAUUUCUACUUUAUUGACCAUGCCAAAGCCUUUGUGCGGAUCACGGUGAACUGUGGAAAAUUCUGAAAGAGUUGGGAAUACCAGACCACCUGACCUGCCUCCUGAGAAAUCUGUAUGCAGGUCAGGAAGCAACAGUUAGAACUGGACAUGGAACAGCAGACUGGUUCCAAAUAGGAAAAGGAGUACGUCAAGGCUGUAUAUUGUCACCCUGCUUAUUAACUUAUAUGCAGAGUACAUCAUGAGAAAUGCUGGGCUGGAAGAAGAACAAGCUGGAAUCAAGAUUGCCGGGAGAAAUAUCAAUAACCUCAGAUAUGCAGAUGACACCACCCUUAUGGUAGAGAGUGAAGAACUAAAGAGCUUCUUGAUGAAAGAGGAGAAUGAAAAAGUUGUCUUAAAGCUCAACAUUCAGAAAACUAAGAUCAUGGCAUCUAGUCCCAUCACUUCAUGGCAAAUGGAUGGGGAAACAGUGGAAACAGUGACUGACUUUAUUUUUCUGGACUCCAAAAUCACUUAAGCUGAUGAUUGCAGCCUUGAGAUUAAAAGACGCUUACUCCUUGGAAGGAAAGUUCUGACCAACCUAGACAGCAUAUUAAAAAGCAGACAUUACUUUUUCAACAAAGGUCCAUCUAGUCAAGGCUAUGGUUUUUCCAGUGGUCAUGUAUGGAUGUGAGAGUUGGAUUAUAAAGAAAGCUGAGUGCUGAAGAAUUGAUGCUUUUGAACUGUGGUGUUGGAGAAGACUCUUGAGAGUGCCUUGAACUGCAAGGAGAUCCAGCCAGUCCAUCCUAAAGGAGAUCAGUCCUGGGUGUUCAUUGGAAGGACUGAUGUUGAAGCUGAAACUCCAAUACUUUGGCCAUCUGAUGUGAAGAGCUGACUCAUUUGAAAAGAUCCUGCUGCUGGGAGAGAUUGAGGGCAGGAGGAGAAGGGGGUGACAGAGGAUGAGAUGGUUGGAUGGCAUCACCGACUUGAUGGACAUGGGUUUGGGUGGACUCUGGGAGUUGGUGAUGGACAGGGAGGCCUGGUGUGCUGCGGUUCAUUGUGUCGCAAAGAGUCGGACACGACUGAGCAACUGAACUGAACUGAACUGAUAACAUGGACCCUUCCAUGAUACAGGUGCUGAAACUAAAACAGUGGAAGAAGGAUUUGUACCCUAUAGAAACAGUUUUAUAGAAAUGAAAAGGUAAAAAUUUCAGACAGAAAUUAUGAUGUACUUCUGUAAAGUUACCUGUAAAGUGCCCACCUCUCCUGCCUCCCCUUCUGCCUCCUCCAUCUUCUGCCUUUACCAUUCCUGAGACAGCAGGAAUGGUGCUCCUUUUCCUCCUCAGUCUACUCAACAUAUAAAUGGUGAGGAUGAAGAGUUUAUGAUGAUCCAUUUCCACUUAUGAUAGUAAUCAUAAUUCUCUAUAGAAACUUAACUGUUGUGUGCCUAUUAGAGUCUUCAAAUGAAUAUCUAAUAAACUUACAGCAAACACUAUAUGAGACCUUUUUUUGUCAUCAUCCCAUAAGUAUUCAUUGUAUAGAACAUCCUAUACAAGACUUGUAUUGAUCUGAUAACCUAUCCUUACGUAGGCAUAAUGUGAAUGACCCUUAAUAUAAAGUUAAUAAUUGGUUACUUUCCUUACUGUUUUAUAACUUUACUUUGAAAGAAAUACAUUGUAUUACAGUAUACUUAUAUCUCUCAUCAUUGAAGAAACCGUGUAUCAAUUUAUCAUCACAGAUAAAUGGCUUUUUAAGAGUGUAACAAUGUUUCCAAUACUGUAUUAUUAGUAUGAUUGUAAUAUUGUGUGCUAUGAAAUUUUUAUAACAUUUCAUUCAUUAGUAUAUAGUCUUAUAUUGAUUACACUAGGCUAACAUAAAGCAGUCAUAUCGUUGAUUCUGUUAUCAAUGUAUCAAUCAUACUUAUAAAUAUGAAUUUAUUUUUUUACAUUAUUUAAUUUUUGAUGUCUGAUGUUAACAAUAUGUAUUAUAUCUGUAGUGUUUUGUAUCAUAUAAAACAAUAUUGAUGUGGGUACUGACAGACAAUUCAUCUUGUAAACAGAUGUUAACUUAUGAUAUCAUUAAUACAGUACUGUAAAUGCAUUUUCCUUAUGACUUUCAUAAGAUUUUUUUCUCUAGCUUACUUUAUGAUAAGAAUAUAGUAUAUUAUAUAUAUGGCAUACAAAUAUAUGUUAAUUGACUGUUUAUGUUAUCAGCACCAUUUCUGGUUAACAGUUGGCUAUUAGUAAAGUUUUUAGGGAGUCAAAACUUAUAUGCGGGUAUUUGACUCCAUGAGGGUUUGGUGGCCUAGCCUGCACAUUGUUCAAGAGUCAGCUGUAUUUGUUAUAAUGAGACAUCUAUAAAAAAUAAAUUGGUAAAAUCAAAAGAA